GAGAUCUUAAAUCUCUUUUUAAUUUCUAUUAGGGUGCUUUUGGUUCGCGCUAUCUUUUAAAGAUUCCUAGUAAUUCAAUGGGAAUAAAAAAAUAUGACGGUGUUUGGCUAAACGCACUAAGUAAUAUAGUUGGUAAUAUUGAAUUCACUUGGGAAUAUGAUUCACCCCAAAGUACUAAUCUCAUUCUCUUGAGGGAGGGUGGGUAUCCUCAUAUUAAUGGAUUGGGAAAAUAAUAAUAUGUCUAAUUUUUUUCUUUCUUCCUACCCGCCGGCUAAUUGAUAUUAUUUUUCGUUACACUCUAACCUUAUAUCUCUCUCUAAACUUAUUUUUCUCUCUAAAAUUCAACUUUUUUGCUCUCUCUAAACUAAGCUUUCUCUCUCUCUCUCUUUCUAAAAUUUCAACUCUCUCACUCCCUCUAAUUUCGACUAUGUUUUUCUAUCUAUUUUUUUAAUUAUGCUCUCUCUCUCUAACUUAUACUCUCUCUUCCUUUUUUUCUAAAAAGAUGUUGAAACUUUUGGUAACAUUAUCUAAAAUUAAUUACAUAAAUAAAUUAAUUAAUUAUAUAUUUUUUGUAAUAUUAAAUAACAUGACUAAUUAAUAUUACCAUGCGAACCAAACAUAGGAAUUCCAUAUUCUUAGUAAUAGAAUGAAUAGGAAUAAGAUUCUCGGAUAUUUUUUAUUUCUAGUAAUCUUUCAUAAUGCGAACCAAACGCACCCUUAGAGUCAACUAAUAUAAUGGUGUAAAUAUUUC
rnacentral:lncRNA from 1 species